rnacentral:rRNA from 1 species
UACGUAGGGUGCGAGCGUUGUCCGGAAUUAUUGGGCGUAAAGAGCUUGUAGGCGGUUUGUCGCGUCUGCUGUGAAAAUCCGGGGCUCAACCCCGGACUUGCAGUGGGUACGGGCAGACUAGAGUGUGGUAGGGGAGACUGGAAUUCCUGGUGUAGCGGUGAAAUGCGUAGAUAUCAGGAGGAACACCUAUUGCGAAGGCAGCUCGCUGGGACGUAACUGACGCUGAGACGCGAAAGCGUGGGGAGCAAACAGG